rnacentral:rRNA from 1 species
UACAGAGGUCCCAAGCGUUACUGAGAAUCACUGGGUUUAAAGGGUGCGUAGGUGGUCCGUUAAGUCAGUUGUGAAAUCCCCGGGCUCAACCCGGGAACUGCUUCUGAUACUGGCGGACUUGAGGCCAGUAGGGGUCACUAGAACUGACGGUGGAGCGGUGAAAAUGCGUAGAUAUCGUCAGGAAUGCCGGUGGUGAAGACGGGUGACUGGGCUGGUUCUGACACUGAGGCACGAAAAGCGUGGGGGAGCGAAACGGGG